rnacentral:rRNA from 1 species
GACAGAGGGUGCAAACGUUGUUCGGAUUUACUGGGCGUAAAGCGCGUGUAGGCGGCUUUGCAAGUCGGAUGUGAAGUCCCACGGCUCAACCGUGGAAGUGCAUCCGAAACUGCAUCGCUGGAGUCUCGGAGAGGAAGGUGGAAUGCUUGGUGUAGAGGUGAAAUUCGUAGAUAUCAAGCAGAACACCUGCGGCGAAGGCGGCCUUCUGGACGAUGACUGACGCUGAGACGCGAAAGCGUGGGGAGCAAACAGG